AUUGAACGCUGGCGGCGUGCUUUACACAUGCAAGUCGAACGGUAACAGGCCGCAAGGUGCUGACGAGUGGCGAACGGGUGAGUAAUGCAUCGGAACGUGCCCAGUCGUGGGGGAUAACGCAGCGAAAGCUGUGCUAAUACCGCAUACGAUCUAUGGAUGAAAGCGGGGGACCGUAAGGCCUCGCGCGAUUGGAGCGGCCGAUGUCAGAUUAGCUAGUUGGUGGGGGAAAGGCCCACAAGGCGACGAUCUGUAGCUGGUCUGAGAGGACGACCAGCCACACUGGGACUGAGACACGGCCGAGACUCCUACGGGAGGCAGCAGUGGGGAAUUUUGGACAAUGGGCGCAAGCCUGAUCCAGCAAUGCCGCGUGCAGGAAGAAGGCCUUCGGGUUGUAAACUGCUUUUGUACGGAACGAAACGGUCUGGGUUAAUACCCUGGGCUAAUGACGGUACCGUAAGAAUAAGCACCGGCUAACUACGUGCCAGCCGCCGCCGUAAUAC
rnacentral:rRNA from 1 species